AGCAGCUGAGCAGUCUGACUCAGGGGACCGCUGCAUUACAGCACUGCAAAUCUGGCAAACCUAAUUGUGCUCACAGGGAUAACGACAACUCCAUAUGGGAUGGAAAAUUGUUUGCAUGUGUGUGAAUUGCAUAGAUCCGCAUGCAAAUCUAUAGAUGAAUAGUUUCAGAUCUACCUCCAAAACUCCAGGUGCUCCUUUUGCUAUUUUCACUUUCCUUGCUGAUAUUGCCUGGCCACCUCAAGACACUCCAAGGACAAGCUGCUGUAUGAGAGACCUGCAUUAUAAAAGUAGGUUCAUCAAAAUGAAUGUCUUCUCCCUUACUAGAUUUUUAUUUUGGUAUUAUUUGGUUUCAACCCCUGGCAUCAGUGCAGUAAAUUUAAACCCCCUCAAAUCUGUUGACUUCAUUUAAUACCUCUUACAAAGAAUACCCCCAUAUGAUUUUUUUUUUAAUGGAAACAAAGUAACUGUAAUGAUUCCAGCUCCUUUGUUAAAGGAGCAAUAAGGUUGCAAAUUGCACAAUUCAUCAGUCUGGAAAUGCUUGUUCAACUCAGUUCUGUUCUCCUCUUUGUCUGCAUCAUGAUACUGACUUAUAGUAUUUCACUUGUGCAAAAGAUCAGAACAAACCCUUGUUUACAAGUGAAGUAGAUUACACUCAGUAUAAAUCAAGAUAGUAAAUUGAAGCUGAGAUUCUUUCUUUUUUCUGAAGUACAACCCUUUUUGCUACUGAGAAUAAUACUAAUACAAUGACUACAAGGUAAAACUUGUAGCUUCUUUGAGGUCUUAAAAGAGUUGUGACCAUACUGUGUUACAUACUUUAAAUACACCUGAGGAAGUGUUGUGAAUUUCCCUGAAGGGGGAUCAGGACUGGUGUUUGGAACACAGAACAACCAGACUUAUUAGAACACCUCUUAUAGAUUUGGUUUUUAUUAGUAGACUUGAGAUGUUAAUGGCAGAAAGCUAUUUCCUCUAUUAAUUCACUUAUUCUUUUGUGCAGGUCGUGCACCUGCACACAGCGAGAGCAGCAGUGGGACACUAACACUGUAGUAGGUUUACUCAGAAGUGGAUGGUCAUCCUGGGCACAACUGUGUUUUCUAGCAAGGUGUUUGGAAACUCCUUUGAGGUACCUGUAAUCAGGAGGUAUGUAUCAUACCUGUAGUUCCUCUCUGCAUGCAGCAGCUCAUUUCCUCUUUUGGCAGGCUCAGAGUAAUCCCUUCACUGGUUGAUGGGCACAUUCAUCAGCCUUUUUUCUUGAAUUUUCCAAUUCCUGGGAGACUUUGCAUGUGCUAUUUCAUGGCACAUACAUUUCUCACAGUUUUCAGGUGAUGGUCCCUCCAUCCAGAUUUAUAGAUCCCUUGUCCCCGCUUCAGGAAGGUGGGGGCAGGGGGAUUUUGUGUCAGGAGCAGCGCUGCUGCCGAGCCUUCAGCUGUUACUGAGGAGACAGAAUGUGAGUGG